rnacentral:rRNA from 1 species
AUUGAACGCUGGCGGCAGGCCUAACACAUGCAAGUCGAGCGGAGCGGCGGACGGGUGAGUAAUGCCUAGGCAUCUGCCUGGGCGUGGGGGAUAACGUCCGGAAACGGGCGCUAGUACCGCAACCUAUCAGAUGAGCCUAGGUCGGAUUAGCUAGAGGGUGGGGUAAAGGCCUACCAAGGCGACGAUCCGUAACUGGUCUGAGAGGAUGAUCAGUCACACUGGAACUGAGACACGGUCCAGACUCCUACGGGAGGCAGCAGUGGGGAAUAUUGGACAAUGGGCGAAAGCCUGAUCCAGCCAUGCCGCGUGUGUGAAGAAGGUCUUCGGAUUGUAAAGCACUUUAAGUUGGGAGGCGUUACCAACAGAAUAAGCACCGGCUAACUUCGUGCCAGCAGCCGCGGUAAUUC